UGCGCGGAGGGUCCGGAACCUCCAUCCCUAGAGCGCGCACUGGGUGCUCCACGACCCACCUGGAGUGUGGCCAGUGGUUCUCGGGUCUCUUCUUUAGCCAGGAUGGAGUUUGGCGAGAGAUUUGCAGAACCGGGAUUACCUUCCCAACUAGAUUGGACCCGCCUAGCAAAUGGCCUGCAUGAUGGCCUUAACCAGGAGAAGAUGCAAGAGAUUUCAGCUGUCCAGACCAGGAAGUUGCAGGUCCCAUCUGCAGCUGUGAGGAUCUGAACUCAAUCUUGGUGGAAACUUCACUUCUGUCAAUGACCUUCAAACAACAACCACCAGGAGCACACUGUGGGGAGAGGCAGUCCACCAAGGGCCCUGGGUGUCCCUGCCUGUUCUUACUGAGGGUGCCAGACUGCAAGACUUAUCCAUCUCCUGAUUCUAAACAGUUGCUGUAUGAAGUUGUAGAGGCAACUAAAUGUCAAGGUAACCUCAGACUCCUGCUCAACCCCCAGGCAAGGGGGACUGGUUUAAUGGCAUCUUGCUGUAUAACCUUUGCUAUUGCUCAAAAAAUGCUGGACCCUUAGCCCCAGGUUCUUUUACCGUAAAGGAACCCACUGAAUAUACUGGUGUCAUCUGGCCCUCCACAUCUCCCUGUUAAAAUUGGGGCUUAGGAAACCAGUGCAAAUACGCUGACACUCUAGCCACUGUUUUCAGUAAUAAAGCUCUUCAUCUCUGA